rnacentral:rRNA from 1 species
AAAAAGCGGAGGAAAAGAAACCAACAGGGAUUGCCUCAGUAACGGCGAGUGAAGCGGCAAAAGCUCAAAUUUGAAAUCCCCCGGGAAUUGUAAUUUGAAGAGAUUUGGGUCCGGCCGGCAGGGGUUAAGUCCACUGGAAAGUGGCGCCACAGAGGGUGACAGCCCCGUGAACCCCUUUAACGCCUUCAUCCCAGAUCUCCAAGAGUCGAGUUGUUUGGGAAUGCAGCUCUAAGUGGGUGGUAAAUUCCAUCUAAAGCUAAAUACCGGCGAGAGACCGAUAGCGAACAAGUACAGUGAUGGAAAGAUGAAAAGCACUUUGAAAAGAGAGUGAAAAAGUACGUGAAAUUGUUGAAAGGGAAGGGCUUGCAAGCAGACACUUAACUGGGCCAGCAUCGGGGCGGCGGGGAGCAAAACCACUGGGGAAUGUACCUUUCGAGGAUUAUAACCCCGGUCCUUACUCCCUCACCAUCCCGAGGCCUGCAAUCUAAGGAUGCUGGCGUAAUGGUUGCAAGUCGCCCGUCUUGAA